rnacentral:rRNA from 1 species
UUCCGGUUGAUCCUGCCGGACCCCACUGCUAUCGGGAUAGGACUAAGACAUGCAAGUCAAGCGCUUUCUAGCUAAUGUGAGAGCGCGGCGUACAGCUCAGUAACACGUGGCCAACCUGCCCUUAGGACGGGACCACCCCCGGGAAACUGGGGUUAAUUCCCGAUAGGUGAAGGAGUCUGGAAUGACCCUUCGCUCAAACGACGUUUAUGUCAUGCUCAUAUUCGUCGCCCAGGGAUGGGGCCGCGACCGAUCAGGUAGUUGGUGAGGCAAUGGCUCACCAAGCCUUUUACCGGUGCGGGCCGUGAGAGCGGGAGCCCGGAGAUGGGCACUGAGACAAAGGCCCAGGCCCCACGGGGCGCAGCAGUCGCGAAAAUUUUGCAAUACACGAAAGUGUGACAGAGCUAUCCCGAGUGCCAUCCGCUGAGGAAGGCUUUUACCCAGUAUAAAUAGCUGGGAGAAUAAGGAGAGGGCAAGUCUGGUGUCAGCCGCCGCGGUAAUACCAGCUCUCCGAGUAGUGUGGACGUUUAUUGGGCCUAAAGCAUCCGUAGCUUGCUAGAUAAGUCCUCUGUUAAAUCCACCGAUUCAAUCGUUGGAUUGCGGGGGAUACUGUUUGGCUAGGGGACGGGAGAGGUCGACGGUAUUCCCGGGGUAGGGGUGAAAUCCUAUAAUCCCGGGAGGACCACCAGUGGCGAAGGCUGUCGACUAGAACGCGCCCGACGGUGAGGGAUGAAAGCUGGGGGAGCGAACCGGAUUAGAUACCCGGGUAGUCCCAGCUGUAAACGAUGCAGGCUAGGUGUUUGGGGUGGCCGCGAGCCGCCCUAGUGCCGCAGGGAAGCUGUUAAGCCUGCGCCUGGGGGAGUACGGCGCAGCUGAAACUUAAAGGAAUGGGCGGGGGGAGCACACAAGGGUGAGCUUGCGUUAAUGGACUCACGCCGU